rnacentral:piRNA from 1 species
UUCACAAGCAACUGUGGAGUUUUCUGUCCC